AAAUUUUUUGGUCCUGAACAUGCGGUUGCCUCCCACCAAGAUUAUACAUGCAAGUAUCCACACGCCAGUGCAAAAGACCCCCCCCCGGAGUAGACAUCAGGCACGCCUAGUGCAGCCAAUAACGUCAUGCUUUGCCACACCUACACAGGACUCAGCAGUAAUAGACCUUGGGCAAUAAGCUUCCACCACCCUGCUUGACCCAGCUAUGGUGUUGUUCGGCCGGUAAAUGUCGUGCCAGCCACCGCGGUUACACGACAGGCAAAAAGCAACCCACUUACGGCGUAAAGAGUGACUACGGCCCAAACAAAGAGAUUAAAACCACAGCCCAGCUAUAAAACGCACAGACUGCCAGAAUACUAAAAGUCUCCAAUAACCUGACUCACGAAAGUCGAGGCACAAACUAGGAUUAGAUACCCUACUAUGCUCGACCGUUAACCUAGCUUGCUUCCCCCCACACACAAGCCGCCAGAGAACUACAAGUAAUCACUUCAAACUCCAAGGACUUGACGGUGUCCUGACACCCUAGAGGAGCCUGUCCUUUAAUCGAUACCCCACGUUAAACCUCACCCCCCUUUGCCAAUCCAGCCUAUAUACCGCCGUCGAAAGCCUACCUUGUGAAAGAACCCCAGUGGACAAAACAGUCACCCCCCCUCACACGUCAGGUCAAGGUGUAGCUAAUAGGGGGGGAAGAGAUGGGCUACACUCUCUCUAACCCAGAGCCCCACAAGUGGCAUGAAACACACCCCGAAAGCAGGAUUUAGCAGUAAACUUAACAAGCAUUGUUAACUUGAAGCCCCACCCCAGGACGCGUACACACCGCCCGUCACCCUCAUCAUAACAUAACUCACCACAACCAUAUAAACACCCACCCACUAAGAUGAGGUAAGUCGUAACAUGGUAAGCGUACUGGAAGGUGCGCUUGGAAU
rnacentral:ncRNA from 1 species